AUUGAACGCUGGCGGCAGGCUUAACACAUGCAAGUCGAGCGGGGGAAGGUAGCUUGCUACCGGACCUAGCGGCGGACGGGUGAGUAAUGCUUAGGAAUCUGCCUAUUAGUGGGGGACAACAUCUCGGAAGGGAUGCUAAUACCGCAUACGUCCUACGGGAGAAAGCAGGGGAUCUUCGGACCUUGCGCUAAUAGAUGAGUCGAAGUCGGAUUAGCUAGUUGGUGGGGUAAAGGCCUACCAAGGCGACGAUCUGUAGCGGGUCUGAGAGGAUGAUCCGCCACACUGGGACUGAGACACGGCCCAGACUCCUACGGGAGGCAGCAGUGGGGAAUAUUGGACAAUGGGGGAACCCUGAUCCAGCCAUGCCGCGUGUGUGAAGAAGGCCUUAUGGUUGUAAAGCACUUUAAGCGAGGAGGAGGCUACUCUAGUUAAUACCUAGGAAUAGUGGACGUUACUCGCAGAAUAAGCACCGGCUAACUCUGUGCCAGCCGCCGCAGUAA
rnacentral:rRNA from 1 species